UACGUAGGGUGCAAGCGUUGUCCGGAAUUAUUGGGCGUAAAGAGCUCGUAGGCGGUUUGUCGCGUCUGCUGUGAAAACUCGGGGCUUAACUCCGGGCCUGCAGUGGGUACGGGCAGACUAGAGUGCGGUAGGGGAGACUGGAAUUCCUGGUGUAGCGGUGAAAUGCGCAGAUAUCAGGAGGAACACCGGUGGCGAAGGCGGCUACCUGGACAAUUGCUGACGCUCAGGCACGAAAGCGUGGGGAGCAAAAGGG
rnacentral:rRNA from 1 species